rnacentral:rRNA from 1 species
AGAGUGAACGCUGGCGGUAGGCCUAACACAUGCAAGUCGAACGGCAGCACAGUAGGAGCUUGCUCUUACGGGUGGCGAGUGGCGGACGGGUGAGGAAUACAUCGGAAUCUACCUUUUGGUGGGGGAUAACGUAGGGAAACUUACGCUAAUACCGCAUACGCCCUUCGGGGGAAAGCCGGGGACCAGCAAUGGCCUGGCGCUGAUAGAUGAGCCGAUGUCGGAUUAGCUAGUUGGUGAGGUAAUGGCUCACCAAGGCGACGAUCCGUAGCUGGUCUGAGAGGAUGAUCAGCCACACUGGAACUGAGACACGGUCCAAGACUCCUACGGGAGGCAGCAGUGGGGAAUA